rnacentral:sRNA from 1 species
AAAGUGAGACCGCCGAAUCUCCCAUUAAUUGGGAAAGCGGGGGACCCAGUAUUUUGGGGCGAAUCAUCCAGAGAGGAUGUAGGGUAAUCUUCCACACCCGAGCCCGUCAGCUAACCUCGUAGGCGUUAGGAAGGUAUAU